ensembl:lncRNA
UUUUUAUGUGGGAAGGCAGUAGAAUGCUGCUUUCUGGCACACGUGAAUUCAGAGAAGAUUCUCUCUCUCUCUACAUCAUGAAAGUGAUUGCCUGAAGAGGCGCUUGAUUGGACCGAGAGGUUAAAACAAAUACAAGGACGUGACACUGGGAAAGUUAGACCAUAAGAAGACUUUCAGAAGCGUUCUGCUUCCACUGGGUCCAAGUAGCUCUCAUCAGACCAGCCCUCCUGGGAUCAAUAAAAAACGUUCAAUUCCUGAGAAACACAAAUAAAACAACUACUUGAUGACACUGGAGUGUGAAGAAAAGCAGGCAGAAACUAGAGGAGGGAUGAUGCUUGGAAGAAAGGAAAGAAACCUGGUGAGUUUCCUGUUUGGAAACACUUAUCUGGGGGCAGAUCCAGUCUACACCACGAGGAACAGCCAGAACUGAUGGAAAUGCACAAUCUUACUUCCUUGAAGAACCAGAAGACAGGGUUCGGAGUGCAGCUACAGCCACUGGAAUAUGAGGAGGAAAAUACCAGAAAAGGAGAAAGCUAGAGAAGGACUUGCAGACACCUCACCUGCCACCAAUUCCUGGAGAUGUUUUCUUGGACCUCCCCUCAUUUUCCUACAAUUAAGAUAGAAUCUCUUACACCUUUUCCUACCUUGUUGUUGAGUCAUUACUUGCAAGGAAUAAAAACACACUGAAAUGGCUCGGCAACAAGAAAGAGGAGUCAGAUAGAUCAUCCUCUGCCUGAAGUUUCAACGAACAGCGACCCCUGGACAAAUCAAAGUAAAGAAGAAAGGCGAUUUUCAGAAGGUUUUUGCCUAAGCUCUCGAAGGUCACUGGCACACUCAACGCCUAUGGAGACUGAGGAAGCUAGCUCCUUGACUAAUGGCAGACGUCGGUAACUGUCACUGAUAUGAUAGAUGCUGAUGGAGACGUAUUAAAAUCUCCCAGCUUAAAGGGCAGGUCUCCUGACCUUUUCCUCAGGAUCCUGAGGUCGGCUCUCCUUCCUCUCUCUUCCUUGUGGCGACUUCCAAUCUUUCAACAAGUGCUGUCAAUCGUGUCUUCUCCACACAUUCAAGAAAAGAUUGAUAGAGCGGUUAACAACAGGCCUCAGGUGUGAACAUAUUCACUAGGAAUGUUACAUAAGACGAACGUCUGUGGGGAGGCGGAGUGGAAUUUUGAGGACAAAGAAAAAACAGCGAAGGUUUUUGAUUCUUCGAGAAAAAUGUGAUGAUUAAUUGUUUUGGUUGGUAAGGGCGAGCGUCCAGUCGUUGUGGCCUUAGAUUCUAUCAGUUGCAUUCAACCCGCCUGGCCCCGAACACACAUGGGCCUGGGGGCCGGGUGCCCGGGAGGCCCACCGACUCUGUGCUUACAUAUUGAGGACUUACAAGUCAGGUUAACAAAUUGUUAGUAAAAUAUGCUCUAUUUUACCUUGAAAAAUGUCAUCUCAAUGUGACAGAAAAACAAAUGUGUUAAGUUUUGGUUUCUAUAUGUUUCAAGGUCAGCAAAAUAUGAAUGAGGACGGUAUUUAUUUAUUAUUGUGUAUGUUUGGGUGUCCUCUUGGGGGGCCAGCUGGGUUGGAGACAUAAAAAAUAAGGGCAUACAUAACAUAUAAAUUGUUA